CCUACGGGACGCCGCCGUGGGGAAUAUUUCACACUUUUUUCCCCCCUUAUUCAGCAACGCCGCGUGAGUGAAGAAGUAUUUCGGUAUGUAAAGCUCUAUCAGCAGGGAAGAAGAAAGACGGUACCUGACUAAGGAGCCCCGGCUAACUACGUGCCAGCAGCCGCGGUAAUACGUAGGGGGCAAGCGUUAUCCGGAUUUACUGGGUGUAAAGGGAGCGUAGACGGCUGUGCAAGUCUGAAGUGAAAGCCCGUGGCUCAACCGCGGAACUGCUUUGGAAACUGUAUAGCUUGAGUACUGGAGAGGCA
rnacentral:rRNA from 1 species